AUUGGGAGACAAAAGCGCCAUGACUCAAAUUAGUGCAAGAAGAUAAAAGAGAAGGAAAAGAAUGCAGAAGAAAAAAAAAGGGGGGCUCUCUAUAAAGAAGAAUCUGAUUUUAUUGAUUAAAUAAUUUUUAAGUACAAGAGAACAAAGAAAAGUCAUCACAAAGAAAAAAUACAAAACUAGAGGUUUCGGACCUCUAGGGCAGAAGUGAAGGGGCUCGGUGCUCCAAGAAGGUCAGUAGCUACGGCUGCAGCGAUCGAAGAGGUCCCGACUGGAGGAGGACCGACAGCG
rnacentral:lncRNA from 1 species